rnacentral:rRNA from 1 species
AACGAACGCUGGCGGCAUGCCUAACACAUGCAAGUCGAACGAAGCCUUCGGGCUUAGUGGCGCACGGGUGCGUAACGCGUGGGAAUCUGCCCCUUGCUUCGGAAUAACAGUUAGAAAUGACUGCUAAUACCGGAUGAAGUCUUCGGACCAAAGAUUUAUCGGCAAGGGAUGAGCCCGCGUAGGAUUAGGUAGUUGGUGGGGUAAAGGCCUACCAAGCCGACGAUCCUUAGCUGGUCUGAGAGGAUGAUCAGCCACACUGGGACUGAGACACGGCCCAGACUCCUACGGGGGGCAGCAGUGGGGAAUAUUGGACAAUGGACGCAAGUCUGAUCCAGCAAUGCCGCGUGAGUGAUGAAGGCCUUAGGGUUGUAAAGCUCUUUUACCAGGGAUGAUAAUGACAGUACCUGGAGAAUAAGCUCCGGCUAACUCCGUG